UACAGAGGGGGCCAGCGUUAUUCGGAAUUAUUGGGCGUAAAGGGCGCGUAGGCGGCCAUGCGUGUCUUCCGUGAAAUCCCUCGGCUUAACCGAGGACGUGCGGAAGAAACUGCAAGGCUCGAGUCCGGAAGAGGGGGGCGGAAUUCCCAGUGUGGCGGUGAAAUGCGUAGAUAUUGGGAGGAACACCAGUGGCGAAGGCGGUCCCCUGGGCCGGAACUGACGCUGAGGCGCGAAAGCGUGGGUAGCAAACGGG
rnacentral:rRNA from 1 species